ensembl:lncRNA novel transcript
GAGGGGAGGAAAACACCCCGGGGCAUGAAGAAGCAAUUUGCUCUCAGGUCUGGGAGUCAGCACCGGAAUCAGAAUGUCCUAAGAAGGAAAGAAAACUGAGCGAGCCGGGCUUGGGUGCCGUGCUGGGCAGUGAAUGAAUGAACCUUGCCCUGGGGUUAACACUCCAGUGGGAUGAACAGACAAACCCCACAAGCACUGCAUACGAUGAGAAAAGUUGGAGCUGGAGAAAGACCGUGUUCCUCGUGUUCUGUGAGACCUGGGAAGGCUGCUAAAACCCAGGGAGCAGGAGUUCUCCUCCCUCCAUCCUUAUCCACAGUCUGGGUCCCAUCCAGACCCUCCUCUCCAAACCGGGGGUUUGCGACAAAGCAGGUGAGGGAGGCAUUUCAUUCCAGAGCAGAAGAAGGGGUUUCCUCCCCCAUCCCACUCCCGUUUCAUUUUUAAGGGGAAAAGCAGCUCCCCAUACGGUGAGGCAAUGAGGCGGACCAGCAGGUUCCCGGGGAUCUCUGCAGCCCCGUUGCCAUAACAACCGAACUCACUCGCAGCCUCUGAUAGGGGAGUCAGCUGGGACCACAGCUUGGGCAGGAAAGGGAUGAGGGAGUAGGAAAGAAACUUCAAGAUCAACCACUGGCCCUCACACCGAGCUGCGCACACCCCAAGGCCAAGGGAGGCUGGAAACCCUUGUCAUCCUUGGGAAAUGGGGGAGGGCACUGGUACCCCUGGGACCUCCCUCCUGAAUCUGGGCAGCUUUAAACAUUUUUUUUCCAACUUUGGAAGACAGUUGUACAACCUCGAAGGAGAGGAGGUGUCACGAUUCACAAAGCGUAUGGAUCACACAUGGCUCUAGGGGACAUUCUCUUUGCUCUGUUUUAUUUUGAGAUAGGGUCUUGCUCUAUUGCCCAGGCUGGAGUCCAGUGGCAUGAUCACACCUUACUGCAGCCUCAAAUUACUGGACUGAGGUGAUCCUCCUGCCUCAGCCAUGUGAGUAGCUGGGACUACAGACAUGCACCACCACACCUGGCUAAUUUUUAAAAUAUAUAUGUUUUUGUAGAGAUAGGGUCCUGCUACAUUGCCCAGGCUGGUCUCAAACUCCUGGCUUCAAGUGAUCCUCCUGCUUUGGCCUCCCAAAGUGUUGGGAUUAUAGGCAUGAGCCACUGCAUCCAGCAUCAUUUCUUUUCAUUAUUAUUAUGAUUAUUAUUUUGAGAUGGAGUCUCGCUCUGUCACCCAGGCUGUAGUGGAGUGGUGUGACCUCAGCUCACUGCAACCUCCACCUCCCAGGUUCAAGUGAUUCUCCUGCCUCAGCCUCCUGAGGAGGUGCGAUUACAGGUACCCUCCACAAUGCCUGGCUAAUUUUUUUUUCUUUUUGAGACGGAGUCUUCCUCUGUCUCCCAGGCUGGAGUGCAAUGGCGCGAUCUCAGCUCACUGGAACCUCUGCUUCCCAGGUUCAAGCAAUUCUUCUGCCUCAGCUUCCUGAGUAGCUGGGACUACAGGCAGGCGCCCACCACACCUGACUAAUUUUUGUAUUUUUAGUAGAGACGGGGUUUCACCAUAUUGGCUGGUCUCAAACUCCUGACCUUAUAAUCCGCCCACCUCGGCCUCCAAAGUGCUGGGAUUACAGGCGUAAGCCACCGUCCCUGGCCUAACCUGGCUAAUUUUUAUAUUUUUAGUAGAGACGGGGCUUCACCAUGUUGGCAAGGCAAGUCUCGAACUUAUGACCUCAAGUGAUCUGCUCACCUUGGCCUCCCAAAGUGCUGGGAUUACA